GACCGCGUAGCUCAGUUGGCAGAGCAUUGGGCUAGUAUUCCAAAGGUCGUAGGUGCGAUUCCCACCGUGGUCA